AGCUGCGUGGUGAGCACAAAGCGAACUAUUCUUUCGCCUUUUACUAAAGAAUACCGUGUGCGCGCCACAAAUGAGCAGCAUACUCUAAUUUUUUGAGGGGUACUUUCUCUAGAGAAAGUC
rnacentral:snRNA from 1 species